rnacentral:rRNA from 1 species
CCUACGGGUGGCAGCAGUGGGGAAUAUUGGACAAUGGGCGAAAGCCUGAUCCAGCCAUGCCGCGUGUGUGAAGAAGGCCUUCGGGUUGUAAAGCACUUUCAGUGGGGAAGAAAGCCUUGGGGCUAAUACCCUCGAGGAAGGACAUCACCCACAGAAGAAGCACCGGCUAACUCCGUGCCAGCAGCCGCGGUAAUACGGAGGGUGCGAGCGUUAAUCGGAAUUACUGGGCGUAAAGCGCGCGUAGGCGGUCUGAUAAGCCGGUUGUGAAAGCCCCGGGCUCAACCUGGGAACGGCAUCCGGAACUGUCAGGCUAGAGUGCAGGAGAGGAAGGUAGAAUUCCCGGUGUAGCGGUGAAAUGCGUAGAGAUCGGGAGGAAUACCAGUGGCGAAGGCGGCCUUCUGGACUGACACUGACGCUGAGGUGCGAAAGCGUGGGUAGCAAACAGGAUUAGUACCCUGGUAGUC